rnacentral:rRNA from 1 species
UACGAAGGGUGCAAGCGUUACUCGGAAUUACUGGGCGUAAAGCGCACGUAGGCGGCUUCUUAAGUCAGGGGUGAAAUCCUGGAGCUCAACUCCAGAACUGCCUUUGAUACUGAGAAGCUUGAGUCCGGGAGAGGUGAGUGGAACUGCGAGUGUAGAGGUGAAAUUCGUAGAUAUUCGCAAGAACACCAGUGGCGAAGGCGGCUCACUGGCCCGGUACUGACGCUGAGGUGCGAAAGCGUGGGGAGCAAACAGG